rnacentral:rRNA from 1 species
CCUACGGGUGGCAGCAGUGAGGAAUAUUGGUCAAUGGCCGUAAGGCUGAACCAGCCAAGUCGCGUGAAGGAAGAAGGAUCUAUGGUUUGUAAACUUCUUUUAUAGGGGAAUAAAGGUAUCCACGUGUGGAUAUUUGCAUGUUCCCUAUGAAUAAGCAUCGGCUAACUCCGGGCCAGGAGCCGCGGGAAUAAGGAGGGUGCGAGCGUUUUCCGGAUUUAUUGGGUUUAAAGGGGGCGGAGGUCGGUUGUUAAGUCAGUGGUGAAAGUUUGGGGCUCAACCACAAACUUGCCGUUGAAACUGGAAGACUUGAGUGUGUUUGAGGUAGGCGGAAUGCGUGGUGUAGCGGUGAAAUGCAUAGAUAUCACGCAGAACUCCGAUUGCGAAGGCAGCUUACUAAGCCAUAACUGACACUGAAGCACGAAAGCGUGGGGAUCGAACAGGAUUAGAUACCCGAGUAGUC